rfam:Halanaerobium kushneri strain ATCC 700103 genome assembly, contig: Ga0104713_113
GCCGAAGUGGUGGAAUUGGCAGACGCGACGGAUUCAAAAUCCGUUGUCCUCACGGACGUGUGGGUUCGAGUCCCACCUUCGGCA